UUUAGCAGCUGCUAGUAAUUAAUAUGUUUUUUUUCAUUAAUCAUGCUAGAACUGCAUGCAUAUACAUGAAAAGAAACAUAUUAAUUACUAGCAGCUGCUAAAUUAAGGAAUAACAUAGGUAAGUUUAAUCUUAAAUUAGGGGGAGAGAGGGAGAGAAGGAUAGUAUUAAUUUUGGACUCGCAAAGUCCAAGCAAAAGCACACAUAUGGCUACAUUGUAUAGCAUCAUGAGCAAUCAGCCUU
rnacentral:misc_RNA from 1 species